AUGGUAUUAAUCAAAGAAGAAGUACAUAUCAUUAACGUGAGCAAAAUCAAGACCUCGGGCCCCAGCUCUGUGGUGGGGCCUCGGCAAGCUGCAAGGGACACGGAAAGAAACAGGACGUGGGGAGAUGCACCUCUCUGUCCCCGUUUAUCCUCAUCCUUCUCUGCUUUGGACCACGGCCGGCGAGUUAGUCCACUGUGAGUACAUCACAAGCUCCCUUGCCACGGCUUCUGCUUGAGUUUGGUAAAUGGGAAGCAAGAGAUAGGAGGGUGGGGGUGGGGGGGUCAAUCCAAGUAUUUCUUCCCCCUUCCUUCCUUGCUCUGGAGUCACAUCUUUGGCAGGAAGUGGAUCCUCCCAUGGAAACAGUUCCUACUGGGUGAACUUCUUCCCCAGUGACACUGUUUUCCCCCUUGUCUCUUGCGUCCACGAGAUUCUAGCAUCUGCUGCUCAUCUCUGGGUUCCUGGCUUCAUUUGAUCCCAUGGCCCUGCCUACCCCUCUAAAAUCUCACUCUUGAUCAGGUCUCUUCUUUCUGUGGAGAUACUGCCCUGAUACAUUCAUAUCAUGUUCUUCCAUUUUUCUUUUCUUUUUUUGUUUGUCUUUUGUCUUUUUAGGGCUGGACUCAUGGCAUAUGGAGAUUCCCAGGCCAGGGGUGGGAUGGGAGCUGUAGCUGCCGACCUGUGCCAGAGCUAUAGCAACGGGAGAUCUGAGCUGUGUCUGCAACCUACACCACAGCUCAUGGCAACUCUGGAUCCUUAACCCACUGAGUGAGGCCACAGAUUGAUCCCACAUCCUUAUGGAUGCUAGUCGGGUUUGUUAACUGAGACAUGAUGGCAAUGCCCAUUUUUAUUUUCUAUUAAUUGGGAAUGAAGUUCUAAGAAAAGUUACUCAGUGUGUUUUUGUAUUUUCUACCUUUUCGGGAGAUUUAUUUAAAGCCUUAUAUGGUACAGGUACCAGUCAUUCAGAACAGAGGCUGACUUGUGUGUUGUUCCAGUACAUUCUGGGUAAUUAUUUGCCAUUUUUGGUACAAUGAAAUCUAAUUCCAGGAUAUUAGAAUUGAAAGGAAAGAAGUGAAAGAUAAGUGAUGAGAUCUAAAAUAAAAUGCAUUAGCUGAUUCUGCA
rnacentral:lncRNA from 1 species